AGUGAACGCUGGCGGCAGGCCUAACACAUGCAAGUCGAACGGCAGCACAAGAGAGCUUGCUCUCUGGGUGGCGAGUGGCGGACGGGUGAGGAAUGCAUCGGAAUCUGCCCAUUUGUGGGGGAUAACCUCGGGAAACCGGGACUAAUACCGCAUACGACCUACGGGUGAAAGCAGGGGAUCUUCGGACCUUGCGCAGAUGGAUGAGCCGAUGCCGGAUUAGCUAGUUGGAGGGGUAAAGGCCCACCAAGGCGACGAUCCGUAGCUGGUCUGAGAGAAUGAUCAGCCACACUGGGACUGAGACACGGCCCAGACUCCUACGGGAGGCAGCAGUGGGGAAUAUUGGACAAUGGGCGCAAGCCUGAUCCAGCCAUGCCGCGUGUGUGAAGAAGGCCUUCGGGUUGUAAAGCACUUUUGUUGGGAAAGAAAAGCAGCCGGUUAAUACCCGGUUGUCAUGACGGUACCCAAAGAAUAAGCACCGGCUAACUUCGUG
rnacentral:rRNA from 1 species